rnacentral:rRNA from 1 species
AUUGAACGCUGGCGGCAUGCCUUACACAUGCAAGUCGAACGGCAGCACGGGGGGCAACCCUGGUGGCGAGUGGCGAACGGGUGAGUAAUACAUCGGAACGUGCCCGAUAGGUGGGGGAUAGCCCGGCGAAAGCCGGAUUAAUACCGCAUGAGACCUAUGGGUGAAAGCGGGGGAUCGCAAGACCUCGCGCUAUCGGAGUGGCCGAUGUCAGAUUAGGUUGUUGGUGAGGAAAGGCUCACCAAGCCGACGAUCUGUAGCUGGUCUGAGAGGACGA